AUUGAACGCUGGCGGCAUGCUUCACACAUGCAAGUCGAACGGCAGCAUGGGUGCUUGCACCUGAUGGCGAGUGGCGAACGGGUGAGUAAUGUAUCGGAACAUAUCCGCAAGUGGAGGAUAACGUAGCGAAAGUUACGCUAAUACCGCAUAUUCCCUGAGGGGGAAAGGAGGGGAUCCGUAAGGACCUUUCGCUUCAGGCGUUGCCGAUAUCAGAUUAGCUAGUUGGUGAGGUAAAGGCUCACUAAGGCUUCGAUCUGUAGCGGGUCUUAGAGGAUGAUCCGCCACACUGGGACUGAGACACGGCCCAGACUCCUACGGUAGGCAGCAGUGGGGAAUUUUGGACAAUGGGGGCAACCCUGAUCCAGCCAUGCCGCGUGAGUGAAGAAGGCCUUCGGGUUGUAAAGCGCUUUCAGCUGGAAAAAAAUCGCUUCACCUAAUACGUGGAAUGGAUGAUGGUACCAGCAGAAGAAGCACAGGCUAACUACGUGCCAGCCGCCGCCGUAA
rnacentral:rRNA from 1 species